rnacentral:rRNA from 1 species
CACGGGGGGAGCAAGCGUUGUUCGGAAUCACUGGGCGUAAAGGGCGUGUAGGCGGUCAGGUAAGUGGAAUGUGAAAGCCCCCGGCUUACCCGGGGAUCUGCAUCCCAUACUGCCUGGCUUGAGUACGGGAGAGGAUGAGGGAAUUCCUGGUGUAGCGGUGAAAUGCGUAGAUAUCAGGAGGAACACCGGUGGCGAAGGCGCUCAUCUGGCCCGAUACUGACGCUGAGGCGCGAAAGCUAGGGGAGCAAACGGG